GGGGCCCGCACAAGCGGCGGAGCAUGCGGAUUAAUUCGAUGCAACGCGAAGAACCUUACCAAGGCUUGACAUGAACCGGAAAUACCUGGAAACAGGUGCCCCGCUUGCGGUCGGUUUACAGGUGGUGCAUGGUUGUCGUCAGCUCGUGUCGUGAGAUGUUGGGUUAAGUCCCGCAACGAGCGCAACCCUCGUUCUAUGUUGCCAGCAUUCAGUUGGGGACUCAUGGGAGACUGCCGGUGACAAACCGGAGGAAGGUGGGGAUGACGUCAAGUCAUCAUGCCCCUUAUGUCCAGGGCUACACACGUGCUACAUUGGCGCAUACAAAGGGCAGCAAUACCGCGAGGUGGAGCAAAUCCCAGAAAGUGCGUCUCGGUUCGGAUUGGAGGCUGAAACUCGCCUCCAUGAAGGUGGAGUUGCUAGUAAUCGCAGAUCAGCAAUGCUGCGGUGAAUACGUUCCCGGGCCUUGUACACACCGCCCGUCACACCACGAAAGCGAGUAACACCCGAAGCCGGUGGC
rnacentral:rRNA from 1 species